rnacentral:ncRNA from 12 species
GGGUCUGUCAGCGAGCGCUGGCGGAGGACAAUCCGGAUGGUCGAGCCGCCAUCCG